UGCAUUUCUGUUCUACAGCACUCCAGGACAGAAUUCAAAAAUUCAUCAAAAACCUGGCUGGUGGUGAGAGGAUUGUGGACAAAGUGGAAUACAGUAUGUCAUAUAAUCUUCUGAGGUCUUCCAAGGAAACAUGAGAGCUCAGUACAAAUAUAACCUCACUUGUGAUUUACAAAAAUACAGUGGGCUAUAGGGAACUGGGAGGAAAAGGGAGGAAGGCCUAUGUAAAUAGGAUUAUGAUGCAAUGUGACCCCAAAAGCUUUAAUUGAAAUGUUUUUUCUAUUAAGAAAACCAAAUGUUAUACUCAAACUCAAAAUAUUACAUUUUUCAGGUAAUCCACCAGUGGCCAGUCACAUGUGACAAAGAUAAGUUGCACAGUCUUUCUUACCUCUUGUAAGUUCGGAUGUGACUCAUGAGACCAAUGCGAGAGCCAUACAAGUGGAGAUAGUGGGAACACUGCCAGGCUGCUGUGGGAGGGUUCUGAGCUGCAGGUUUCCUCUUCCCUCUGGCACUGGACUUCUCAGGAGGAAGGAAGGAAAAAAGAGAGCUGCACAAGAAAAUCUGUGUGGGAAGGCUUCUUAAGGCUUUUAAGUGGGAAAGUCAUUGCACUGAGGCAAUCCCACUCUCAUGCUCACCAAAGUUUUGAUCCAGUAGUACAAAGAGUUGUCACACCUGGA
rnacentral:lncRNA from 1 species